GCUGGAAUAGCUCAGUCGGUAGAGCACUUCACUCGUAAUGAAGGGGUAAAUGUAUUGAAAAAUGCUUUAAAAUCAAUGCAUUUCAAGCU
rnacentral:tRNA from 1 species